AAACACGAAGUAGGCUUUUCGAGGCAGGGAGACAUGGACUAGAGGACAUGACACGACAACUAAUGACAACGAAAGACAAAUACUGGACAAUAAUGAGGUGCGAGACGUGACUUAAAUACUCGUGCUCAUUCACCAAAAAAACGUGACACGGGUACAGUCAUGUGACGUGAUCCGGUGAGGUGCAGUGGCUGAUGGGAAACGUAGUCAUGCUGCUGAUUUCAGCGUAACCAUAACAACCUUGGCAUUUGGAAUGUUUUAGAUCUCUAUGUGUUUGAAGUACAACGUGGGGGAAAAAACCUGUUCUCGUCUUUUGCCAGCAAUAAUCUAGCCAGCGAAGUGUGCUGAAUGAUGUAUACUUUCCUCCUAUAGACUUAAAAAGCAAAUAUAUAUGUAUGUUGAUUGAUCUAUAGAUCAUACUUGUAUACAUCCCGUGUAGGCUCCGCCUCCCAACGUGGAACAACGGUGGAAUUUUACCGAAAGAGCUAGAAGUGAUGCAGAUGAUAAUAGCACUAUUUUGAUGACAGAUGUGACUGGAGUCCAAUCCGAGCUAUAAGAGAGACCGGAGUAAGAUGAGCUUCUGGGUAACACAAGCAUUUAGAUGCAUGAGUGAACAUUUGCCACAGCUUCCAGCAGAAUAGUUAGGCUGUAGACCAGCAGACUCACGAAGAGGAGCCAUGCGAGGCAAAUCAAAUGGUUCACAGCAGCCUAGUUAAACAGCAGUGUGGAGAAAGCAUCUAUCAGGUUUAUGGGUCUUGGCCAUUGGGACUGACAGAGCAUGCUGGGGUGUCGAGGUACUCUCUCUAGUGGUCCAACACGAGGUAUAUCGUGGUGGAAGCAGAACCUUCAAGUCUAGGGGGCAGUGUUCUGCGUGUAUCUUAUAAAGUGCAUACUUAACAUAGUAAAAAAAAAAAAUGGUUCAACCCUUAUUUAUAACUACAGUUGUUUUGUGACAAGCCAUACAGUGCCUUGCAUAAGUAUUUAUUCUCCCUUGAACUUUUCCACUACGAGUCAGUGACUGGCUAAAGAGAGGGAUUAGUCAUAGAAAUAAACAAGAGACCAUGAGUGACUCUGGUAUCCACAGCUCAGAUCUGAGGAGCUGUUCCCAGCCCAAACAUUCCACAAUGCUGGGGUUUAUGGAAGAAUUUGGGAAGAAAGCCGUUAAUGGCGGAAAAAAAAAAAAAGCUAUGAAAUCCCAUUUGGAGACUCAGCAAACAUGGAGGAAAAGGUUCUCUAGUGUGAUGAGACCACAGCUGAAUUUCUUUUGCCGAAAACAGUGAGCCAAAAUAUCAGAAUCCAGAUAUGCAAAGCCAAUACAAAGAGACACAUCCCAGAAGACUGUAAGUGCAGCCAGAGGUGAUUCUGAGGGGGCAAAUAUUUAUGCAAACAACAAACAUCUGCUUUUAUGGUUACUUACUUAUACUUAUGCAUGGCACUGUAGGGCACUCCCAUUUAUUUUUUUUUAAAGCUCCUCCUUCUGAGAGUCUCCAGUAUGACAUACGGGAAUAGAGAGCAAACAGCUGACACCUGUCCUAGUCUACAGCUGCCCCAUGGCCUCAUCAUUUAGGCGCAGUGUGUGGGAGGCUUUUUCGCCUGGAAAACUGGCCGAGAGCCAGAAACCUCCACUUUACAGCCACAGAGUUUAUCUGUCAAGGCCCAUUUUCGAUAGGACAGCUGUGAGGGGGGAACACUCGCCAUAACAGAGCCCUUAGCAACGGUGACCUCAGUAAACAAACAUCCCACCACUCACACGCUCGCUAACGGAGACGAUAAAGCAGGAGGAAAGAUGAACUCGGAAAAGACGAGUCCGUGAUCAGAAUGUACUGGGACAAAUGUUGGAUACGGAUGAUUCCACGACUGGGGUUCCAUUUCUAUGGCGCUAUUAAUUAUGUCAAAUAAAUGUAAACGACAUGUGAAACGUUUUCAGAUAAGCAACUUAAAGUCCCCAUGAAAUCAAAAAGGAAAAUUUGCGGCUUUUAGGUCAUCUACAAGCUAGCGCGCUCGAAAACAAUGACAACAUUCGCAUUCAGAAGAUAUACGCGUUCAAAAUUUACCACCGGUACGGAUCAACAAUUUUGAUGACAUCAUUCUGCACGUCAGAGUCUGUCAUCAGAUUUUCUGUCCAAUCAAAAUGCUCUGUAGAAUCUGAAGCGUCCCGCUCGUAACGUUAUUAAAAAUCACCUCGCCGAAGUCGCCGUCGUUGAGCGACCGGUAUUUAAAAAAGAGGACGAGCCACUCGAUAUGUCCCGCCCUGACUUCCUGUUUGUUGAAAUUACGCAUCAAAUAGCGCUGGGCAUUUCAAUGCAUUUCACUGGGAGUUUAAACCAUUAAAAUACUUUAAAAUUGAGAUCCCUUCCCUUUAUAUCUCGCUUAUCCUCCGCCAUUCCAAAGUCAGGGGUCGUAUAUACUGACCCGGGAGAAUAUCUCGAAAAACUAGAGCCAAUCGACAACUUUAAGCAUCAUUUUCAUUCUCAGUGACCCAGAAUUAGUACAGUUUGACUACAUUUAUUUCAGAAGCAUUUUGGCUGUGUGUGUGUGUGUUCCUGCUGUCCCACUGUCGCUGUCCCACUCGGUAAGAGACACACAGUCACCCGAGCCGAGCCUGCAUGCAGUGCAGCAGAAACGCAGUGCAGUGACUCAUCAGUAAUCAGCCUCAGGAUCUCAGCAUCAUCUAAACACUAAGUGAGCUGGAGUGCAGAACAGGCAUGUUGAGGUUCAGAGGAUAUUCUAGCAGAAGAAAAAAAGAAAAAAAAACCCCACAUAAAGAAAUAAAACAAA